rnacentral:rRNA from 1 species
UGGCCUGUUAGAUGCCUGGGUAAAUCGAUGCGCUCAACGCAUCGAACUCCGGGUAGACCGGCAGGCUCGAGACCGGGAGAGGCAUGGGCUACUCGCGGGGUAGGGGUAAAAUCCUGUAAUCCUGCGGGGAGGACCAGUGGCGAAGGCGCCAUGCUAGAACGGCUCUGACAGUGAGGGACGAAGCCCUGGGGCGCAAACCGGAUUAGAUACCCGGGUAGUCCAGGGUGUAAACGCUGCAGACUUGGUGUCGCUGGUCCUACGAGGGCUGGCGGUGCCGGAGAGAAGUUGUUGAGUCUGCCGCCUGGGGA